GCUUAUUGUUUUUAUUGUUUUCUCUUUAAGCAACCCGGAAGGGCUGAGCACUUUGGUUAUGAAGUCUUCACCAAAGAAGGAUUUACAGAUUGGAAGCAUGCAUCUAAAGGCUUCAAAGAUCAUAUUGGUGGUCAUGGUAGUAAGCAAAACUCUUGCGUCAAGCAUUAUGAUGAUUAUAAUAAUCAAAGACAAAGUGUCGCAAGUAACUUUGCUAGGUCAAGCAAGGAAUCAGAAGAAAUGUAUAAGAUUCGUUUAACUUGUUUUGUAAGUUGUUCAAGAUAUCUCAUUGCCCAAGGCUUGGCAUUCCGCAGACAUGAUGAAUCAGCUACUUCUCUAAACAAGGGAAACUUUAGAGAGAUGAUAGAUUUGGAAAAAACUAAGAAUGAACAAGUCAGAGAUGCUUUUAACCGUGGUGGCAGAAAUUGCACAAUGACAUCUGGUGACAUUCAAAAGGAGCUUGCAAUGUGUUGUGCACAUGAAGUUAGAAAGAAGAUCAUGGCAGAGCUUGGUGACAAACAAUUCUCGGUGCUUAUUGAUGAAUCACGUGAUAUAUCUGUGAAAGAGCAAAUGGCUGUGAUGUUGAGGUUAGUAGUUUCACUUUUAUUUUUCUGUUUGUUUGUCAUUUAUUCUCUAUGCAACCAAUUUAUUUGGUGA
rnacentral:rRNA from 1 species